UUGUGUUUUUUUAUUUUUUUUUUUUUUUAAUUGUUUUUGUUUUGCUUUUUUUCUUGUUAGUUUUUUUUUUUUGUGUCUUUUUCUAAUGCAGUAUCUCUCCAAUACUUGCUUACUUUCCUGUCAACCAGGUUCCCCUCAAUGACUGCAGUAACUCCAGCAGCCACUCAACACAUCCAUUCCUUUCUCCAGGGGUGACUUCUCUUGCCUAAGCCCAAAUUACUGGGGCUGGGCCAGCCUCUCUCCUUCUCUUUGAUAUUUCAGCUGAUUGUGAAGCCAAUUUGAUGGUAAUGUCAAUGCAGAGGCCACUGUGGAGGUGACAUUACAAUUGUGAUGUCAAACUGAGGAGGGUGACAGUACCUGAAUGUUAAAAUAAUGGUUAAAAAAAUGCCAGUGGAAAGCUGCAAAUAUCAUUGUGUCAAGAUAAUGUCAGAGCUACUCCAGUGCUGCUUUAUUAACACCCCAGUUUGAUGGCAAAAUAAAGGUGCAGAGGUGUCAGCUCAAGUUGAUGAGGGUGAUGUGGAGCAAGGAAUUCAAAUGUAGGGAGAGCAUGGGAAAGGGUGAGAAAAUAAAGUGUAAGUUAAAAAAAAUUCGUCCAAAAUCACUGUAAUUGAAAUAUGACUUAGAGUGGUUAACAUUGCUCUGGUUGAUGUGUGACAGGGAUGGCUCAGACACCCCUGUGGAGCAGAGGGACGUGUGGGCACCCAGGAUGGCAUCUGGAGCCCCACAUGGGAACUGUGGGCAGGAGUGAGGGAACCUGGUGCAAAAUUGGAGAGGAAGGGGACCAGGGAGGGCAGUGGGGACACGGAGCAAGGCAGGGACCACAGGCACAUCCAUGCUGGGGCUGGCAGAGAGAUUAGAGCCUUCCAUUCAAACCAGAACCAAGAGCUGUCAUGAAAGCAGAAAGGCCUAAAGGGAGCAGACUUUCAGCCAGAAAAGAAAUGCAUUAAAGAUGUAAUGCCUUUUCCUUUGAAGUAGGCUCUUGUUGGAUUUCACUAGACAUCAGUGGAUCUCAGGAGCUGCAUUUCGACUUCAAUUCCUUGAUGCUACAAACUCCACAGGUGGAGCAGGGGAAGUGAAUAUGUGUUUGCAAAUGUGGGAACAAAGUGAGGCUCUGGUUGCUGAGGCAUCAAGUGCUAAUGAUCCUGCUUUAGACUAAUUACAACCUACAAGGACUGCAGGGGUGGGAACUCAUUAAUUUUUUUUCACUGGUGUUGGUCUCUGUGCCUCUUCCAGUGUUGGCAGAAAUCACUUUUUGUUCUCAUUUAGAUCCUUCAUUCUGGAGAUGUUCUAUGGGUUUGGUUUGGCUCUGAGUUUCUUAAUUUCCAGGAAACAACUGGAGUGAAAUCAGAAGGGAAUAAUUGAUCCUUCCCUACUGCUGAGUGGAGCUGGGAGUGUGGACAGGCUUCAGUGAGCCCCAGCAUGGGCAGCAGAGGCAUCCCAAGCUCACAUUGCUGCAGCUGAGGUGAAACACUCUCCCCAGACCCCCCCAAAAUGACCUAGAGUUUCCAGCCCAUGGGAAAAAAAAGAGUUUUGUGGGUUAUUUGUGGGCAUUUGGCAAAUGCAAAGACAAAACAGAUUUCUGGAGGAGCACAGGACUAAAACAAACCCUGGCAGUUUUCUGCACAUCCAGAAGACCAUGACACCUAAUCCUCUGGGAAUGGUUCCUGCAGCCUCCCUGUGUCAGCUGGUAAAUAUUCACAUUUAAAAAUCGAUAUCACAUGAAACAUAAACAGAUUAUUAAUGAGGACCUGUUGGAAAGCAGGGAGGGCUGCAAUUAGUUGCACUUUAGCAGCAGCAAGUGAGGGACUCAAUUCUGUUUCUUUUCUGGAGAAAAUGCCAGAGGAGGCGUCUGAAGCCCACCUACUGUGUUGUUUUUUUCCCUGGCAGAGGUGGUGGCUUGGCUCACUUGCACUCUUCUGUGUUUUUUUCAGACCAACCCCAGCAUUUACCACGACCAGCUUAACCUCACUCUGUGGUUCCCUGCUUGCAGAAGGAGGCUCUGCAGAAGGCUCUUCCCAGGGCAGAAUAACCCAGAGAGGGGAGGCAGCACCUGCUCUUCUCUCAGCUCAAAUGUGAGCUCAGAGCUUUCUAGACAGGGUCUCCUCAGUAAUAUUUGGUUUCCCAGCCUCUGCCCCAGUGUGGUGAGACCACUGGGAUCAGGGUGGGGUCUGCAAACCAACACCUGGCAAUGCCACCAACAAAAUCUCCCCAGUUCUGGGGUGGAAAUCAUGGAACACAAGAGCUAAAUGUGUGUGUUUUGGCUGGCUGGGUUAUUUUUCAAUAGACUCCCACUCUCUCUGUGUAGCUGGCCAUCCCUGCUGCCCCUGUCACUGACCACAGCUCGGUGCUCCCAAAAUACCGCCGGCCGUGCCGUGGGGAAAGUGAUCCCCUGGCCCGGGAGCCCGGCUGAAAGCUGAGCUGGGCUGCAGACAGAUGCACAGCCUCUCCUUUCCCCUUGAGUUUCUGCACUGCCCGUGUCUGUUGGUUCUCUCAUUCCAAGGAAAUGCCACAUCCUCUUUUUUCCACUUUCCAAAGCCUGUCUCUGUCCCCCCCUCCUCAAACAUCACCGCUUUUCCCAACACCCUGUUCACAGUGGGGCAGCCCCUGGGGUCACCAUUUCCCCACAGACUUGCUCAUAAAUGUGGGAAAAACCUUUAUUUCUUUCAGUCCAAGCGAAGCAGCUUUGGGCCUGAGCUUUAAAUGGCUUCAGUGCCUCCCGUCAGAGGCGUUUGAGAAGAUGAAUCCUCUGCCUCCCUCCAGACGUGCCAAUUCAUCGGGAGCCUGCGAGAGGUGGGCAGAGACAGGCAGCCAGUCCUCAUCUCUGCAGACAGUCUGGAGGCUGAGGAGCUGGGAGGCCUUGCUGGGAAAUGGAGCUCAUUUGUUCAAUGCUGUCCAGGGAAACCAGAGAGAUGUGGAAGAACAGAUGAAUUUUUUUAAACUAUCACUGAGUGGUUUCAAAGUCUGAGCACAAUCUAACUCUGUUCAGAUAGAUCAACCAUGGAGCAAGACUGUUCAUGGGCAGGAAUGCUGCAAAUUUUUCAGUUUUGUCAAAAUCAAAAUUUUUCAUGGGAAAGGAAUGGGUUUUGUUAAUUUUUUUUUUUUUACUGUAAUUGUCAAAUGGAUUUUUUUUGGUUUUGGCUUUGGUUGAACAAUUUGCUGCCCUGCAACUUAUCUGCUGAGUUCUCAGUUGCAGCUCUUGUUGUCCCACAGGACAAAAGCUCCGGUCCCUGUUCUCUCCCCAUGACUUUGUUCCCUGUCCAGACCCCACGAGCAUCUCAUGAUCCCUGCUCCAGCUCCAUCUCUUGAAGGUUCCUGCUGGAGGAGGAGCAGAUGCUCCAGCUUGGACCAAAACAGGGCAUCACUCCUGGAGAGCUGCUGGACCCAGCCCUGCCCUGGGCGAGGAGGCUCUGGCAAGGAGCAACAUCCCAAAACGCUCAGCAAGACUUUUUAUUUCUGCCAAAAACACCCCACGAGCCUCUGCAGGUCUGAGCUGGGCUGAAGAAAAACCUUGGACUUAGUCUGGAAUCAGAUGGGUGGUUUGAAGCACAUUCACUGGAGAACGACGACUAAAAAGAACAAAACCCACGCAGAGCAAACCUCACACUGUCCACUUCCAGUUCAAGGUACAUGAGUUUAGAGAAACAGCCUAUAUCUAACUCCUGGUUUGAAAGGGAAUGGUUUUAUUCUUAAUUACAGUAAACACGGAUGAGGACUUAGUUCUAACUAUUAGUUUUUUUAACACAGUGGGAAACAAAUAGUUCUGGGAAAUUGCACUUGAAAAAUACAUUGACUAUAAUUAGAUGUAAAUUAAUUAGCACUUAGUAUGACACACUAAUGAGACAGAAGGUUGGUUUUUUUUUCAUUGCAAACUUCUACUUCUAUCAUAGCUAAUCAAAGUAUUUUAAUAUUACGAAGUCUCAAAAAGUAGGAAAUAAUUUAUUGUUUGAAAGCAUAAAGAUUCUUGUAAAAAAAACCUUUCAUCAAGAACUUUAAUAGUUUUAGAACCCUUUUAUGUUGUCCUAGCCGAAAAGUAGGUAAAAAAGUUUUCUUUUCUGCCUCUGUUUGAAUUUUUUUUAAAAAGCUUGUGUAACAUCUUUCUCCAUAGUGUGUUGAUACAGAAAGUAGCACAACAUUUUCUACUUUUAAAUAGUUCCCAUCGCUCCAUUCGCUUUAGCUCUCAGAGUUCAGAGGUUUGAAAAAAGGAUCCCAGUGGAGUUUUAACCUGAAUGGAAACUCUUAAUGAGCAGGGAUGAAGGCUCCAACCCACCUCUGCCAAAAUAAGGAUGUGGCUGUGCCAGGCUGAGGGCCAGGCAGAGCUUAACAGUGACCAGGGGAAGACUCUCGCUUAAAAUUGAGAAUUGUGUCUUGGUUCUUGCAAGGAGAGAGGCUUGAGCAGGGUUCCUCUGGGGGAGAGGGGGUUCAAUUCCUUUUUGGGAUGUUAAGGCAGCUUCUCCAGGAUUUCCCUGGAGGACUUGGUUCCACUAGCUGAAAGCCUCGUAUCCAAACCACCACUGAGUCUCUGGCCCCGGGGCCAUCACAGGAUAAAUUAAGACUAAAGAGGUUUUAACAGUUUGGUUGAGAUCUCCCACUACCAGUGACCCUUUCCAAAUUAUGGAUAUUUUCUUGUCAACACUUGUGUAAUCUUAUCCUAGCAAAGAUUUUCUGGGCAAAGAUGAUGGGGAUAUUCCAAGGAAUCUACAGGAAUUAGAUGCUCCUCUCUCACUGCAUCUAAUUCAUAUGUGGGGAAUCGGGCACCUCAUUCUCAUAUGGCUUGGUCGAGUGGUCACUAAAUCAGCAUGAGUACUAUUAAAUUAAAUUAAAUUAAAUUACCUUUGAGUCAGGCCCUCGAGCUUUGAGAUCCAAGCCUAAGUGUAAAAACUGAAAGCAGGAAUUUAUAAGAAAAAAAAAAUAGUAUUUCAGACUCUUUUAGAAACAUACAGAAGCAAAGGGUACAAAUUAGUUCCCUCCUUACGUGAUGCAGAGAGUUUGCUGUGGACUCUCUGCCCGUAAGUAGAUGCAUCAUUACAAAAUAAAUUAAAUUAGGUCGAACCACCAUCUCCAUCUAAAAGCAACUAUACCUUGCACCAUGCGGCACUUAAUUCAUAAUAAAAAGAGUUUAAUAAAUAUCUCAUAAACGGUGAUUAAAUUUUUUUCUCUUUUUUUUUUUUCUUUUUUUCCCCUUUUUUUGUUCUUUUUUUUUUUUCUCUGUUUUAAAAAAUACAAAGUUGCCAUCUGCUCCGUCGGCGCUCGGCUCCCGUUGCCGCGGGAGGAUUCGCUGAGCCCGGGCGCGGUCUCUGGUGGGAGAUCUCUGUUUGCAGUGGUGUUAGUGUUGCACUUGUGAAGGAAAUCAGGAAGGAAAGGAAGGAAAUCAGGAGCGUGGCACACCCAGCCCUGCUCCCGCCGCGCUCCGCGAGUCUCCAGGGGCUCCUGACAGCCAGCACUCAGCACCUUGCCGGAUCAGGCACUAGGGCUCGUCGAAGAGAGAAUUCAAGUUUUCUAAACGUUAGGCAAGAAAUGAUAUUUGCAAAUAGGCUCAAGUCCCACCUGCUUUAAUCUCUUUUCCCUUCCCAGGUGUUUCAAGACGCACCCACCCUCUGCUCCUCGGCCUGCGUUGCCCCAAGGGAUGCCUUACCCCAGGAAUGGGAGAUCCCCUUCCCACCCCUUCAGGGAGUCUGUAAUGCUCAGUACGUGGGUGCUCUAUGGUUUCAGUGGCACAGGUCAGUUUUAGAAAGUGUUGCCUUCAAAAAUAUUUUCUUUUUUUUCCUUUUUGUUUUUUUUCUGAAAGAGGCAAAGCUUACGCCGUGUUGAAGGAAAGUGGCUCGCUUGAUGAGUAGUUCAUUUUCAUCCUUGGGCUUGGUUAUAAAUUAUAUUUGCAAGUUUGUAUUAAGGGAUCUCAAUAUUAGAAAAAAAAAAGUACAACAAUUUUUCUGUAAUCCUUUAAAA